rnacentral:rRNA from 1 species
UACGGAGGGUGCGAGCGUUGUCCGGAAUCACUGGGCGUAAAGGGCGCGUAGGCGGCAUGCCAAGCGUGUGGUGAAAGCCCGGGGCUCAACCCCGGAUCGGUCGUGCGGACUGGCGUGCUCGAGCACUGUAGGGGCGGGUGGAAUUCCGGGUGUAGCGGUGGAAUGCGUAGAGAUCCGGAAGAACACCGGUGGCGAAGGCGGCCCGCUGGGCAGGAAGGCUCGCAAGAGCCGGCUGACGCUGAGGCGCGACAGCGUGGGGAGCAAACAGG